AACUCUUCGCACUUUUAUUCAAUUCAAUUUAAUAAAUAUGUCACACUUUUACAAGGCUUUUUCCAAAUUUAUCUUAUAAAAAUAUCCGAUUUCCGUGUACAGCGCUACUUUUCAUUUAUUUCCGAGUAACACGGGCCGCGCGACCGUUUUUUUUGCGAACGGAUGUUCUUGUUGUCAGUUUAGCGCGAACCAUUAGCUAUUUUCGUAAAUUACAGAAAGCGACUGCCAAAUUGAUUGCAAAAUUUCAAGCACUCAGCGGUUCACUGCGCGUUCGGUUCGCCACUGCUACUCGGUACUGACUGACUAUGGCGACUGGCUAAUGGACGGACGCUGGUGAUCACUUUUCAUGCGCUAGGAAUAGCACAGAACACUAAAACGCUCAGUGAUUAUUUAGCAGGCAAUUGGAUUCUCGCUGAACACUGGCCGGUACAUAGCCAAUUGCUUGGCAGAACAUAUCCGUCACUAAUGUGGUAUACGCAAUAGACUAGAGAUCGCGGUCGAAAAAUAACGCAACCGAAUUAACGGUUAGUGAGUGUGCCAAAGCUUUGCGAAAAUAAAUUCGACAAAAGUAAGCAAACAAAAAAAAAAACGCAGAGAAAUUAAGCAUAUUAUGCGAAUGCUGUGCUUUCCAUAGCCUACUUCCUGUCGCUGUUGUUGCUGCUGAGCGCUGACGAACAGUGCGUAAAAUGUUUAUUACUUUAGCGGCAUUAGAAUCCCAAGCAAGUGAGUGGGUAAUGUGGAAAGUUGAUUAAAGGAAAUCGAUUGAAAAUAGAAAAGUCAGGAACGAUGAUAGAAGUUAACGCUAGAGAUAAGAUGAAUGUAAAGAUUUGCCAUUCAUAUUAUUGGGGUCUACACCGUCAAGUUCAAACGUCUUACAUAAAAGAGUAAGUGAUCAUCAUCUCAUCAUAAAUAAGAAAAUCAAGCUUAUCAGAUUACUUGAUCGAACAAAAACUGGCACUCGCAUACGUUAUUGCAGACAAUUUCAAGGACACAAUUCGGAGAAAAUAAAAAGACUGAAGUGAUACAGUCUUUUAUGAACGAAGUAUUGAAGUGUUCACUUAAGCCUUCCAAAAUCUAUAAAAACUAAACUAUAUCUCUCACAUUGAUAGCAGGACUCUCUUCUAUGAAAGAAUAUGCCCACAAUAGGUACAAUACUAUUAUAUAUUAUAUAUACUAUUUGUAUAAAAAUUAUGUGACAUUGAUCCAAAAUCGAA